rnacentral:rRNA from 1 species
UACGAAGGGGGCUAGCGUUGCUCGGAAUCACUGGGCGUAAAGGGUGCGUAGGCGGGUCUUUAAGUCAGGGGUGAAAUCCUGGAGCUCAACUCCAGAACUGCCUUUGAUACUGAGGAUCUUGAGUUCGGGAGAGGUGAGUGGAACUGCGAGUGUAGAGGUGAAAUUCGUAGAUAUUCGCAAGAACACCAGUGGCGAAGGCGGCGAUCUGGGAACAUACUGACGCUGAGGUGCGAAAGCGUGGGGAGCAAACAGG